GUUAGGACCCUUUUUCUGAGCUUUUGAAUAAUGUUUAUUGAGUCUGUUUAGUCUAGUUGUUUAUUGAGUCGGUUUGGUUCAGUUAGAGUCAAGUAGAGGUUUAUUUAAUAUUUAUUUAUUAUUGGAGUUCAAGUCCUGAUGGACUUUGGGUGGAACUCUAUAAAUAGGGAUGUAACUGCUUCUUUUCGCUUAUACCGUCGGCGACGCUGCCCUAGCCGCACCGCCAUCGCUGGCUUCCCUUGGUUGCAGCUUCGGCCGUGCGAUCUGUCGGCGUCGCUGUUUCUGUGGUGCGAUAGAAACAGAGCAGCCGCCGGUCCCUCUGCUGCCGCAGGCGUCGGUCGCCUCUACAGCCGCCGACUCCUCCUUCUCCACCGCUGCCGCUGCUUCUCGGCCGCACAAUCACCGCCGCACCGCCGUUGCCAGCAUCACCAGCGGUUCCGGCUGUGGUGCGAUAGAAACAGAGCACCCUGUUUUCCAUCUCCAGCAUCGCAACUUCCCGGCCAGCGACGACGCUCGCUGCCUUUUUCUCCACCGCCGCCGCUGCUUCUCGAUCGCUCUAUCACCGCCGCCCGCCUCCCAGCCGCAACCCUCGCCGUGGCCCCCCUUGGGUCGCAGCCGCAGCCGCCGGUUGCCGCAGCCCUCGUUGCAAUAGUUGCAGAAACAGAGCUUCCUCUGUUGCUGCAGCCCCCGUCGAUCCUGGCAGCGACCCUCGCUGCCUCCUUCUCCACCGCCAACGCUGCGCUCUGGCCAGCGACCACCGCUGCUGCCAGUCACCGCAGCCUUCUCCUCAACUGCUCGUGAUCCUUCCGGCCAACUCCUUCGGUGGUGCGACAAAAACAGAGUACGCAGCAACAAAAAUAGUGGCACCCUCGGCUGCUGCAGCCACCGAUUGUAACCACCGUCGUCGCUCCCGGCCAACGACCAACCCCUCGUUCUGCAGCAGCCGCCCUCCAACAGCGAACGCAGCAACCACAGCAAGUACGCUGCCUUGCCUCAACCCCGUUGCUCGGCGAUCACCCUUGGGUCGCAACAACUGCAACCACAUCAACGCAGUCGUCUUCCAACCUCGGCACUCUCACCUCACGUAGCGAUAGAAACAGGGCAACUACUCUUCCUCCAACGCAGCGAUCGCAGCACUGCCCUUGGCGUCCACCUCCUCGGCAACUCCGCAUCGACAGUAUUGAUGCCCUUGACCCGACACCAAAAAUAGGAGUUGAGAUUACAGAUUUGCAGUCUUACGCAAUGGCCAUUGAUAACUCAGUGAAAGCACAAAUGGAAGCAUUGGAAAUCAGAAUUGAGAAUCGACUGCAAGAAACACUUAAUGAUUUCAAAAAGAGCCUAAUGGAGAGCCUCAGCAAAUUUCAACAAAAUGGGGGCUCAAGUUCUACAUUGCAUAGAUCUGAAAAUACAGGAAAAAGGUCCCAACAUUGUGACACAAAUUACUCAUACAUGAAGAUGGAAUUUCCAAGAUGGAAAGAUGAAGAUUCGACCAAUUGGAUCUCUAAGGCAGAAAAUUUUUUCCGUUUUCACAGAACCCCAGAAGAAUCCAAGGUAGAAGUGGCCUCAAUCCAGCUCAAGGGAGAUGCACUCCAGUGGUACGAUUGGUAUGAAACAUUCCACGGAGUUCCUUCGUGGGAGCAAUUCAAAAGAGGACUUCUUGUUCGCUUUGGCCCAUUCGAAUAUGAGAAUGUUGAUUGCCAGCUUGCCAAAAUUCGUCAGACUUCUACAGUGUUAGAAUAUCAGAGUAGGUUUGAAAAAUUAUCAAAUCAAGCUAGAGAUUGGUCAGACCGACAACUUCUGGAUACAUUUAUUGAAGGGCUUAUUCCAGAGAUCCGGUGUGAAGUUAAGGCUCGUCAACCUCGCACUAUGAUAGCUGCAAUCUCAUUUGCAAAUCUAUAUGAGAAAAAAAUUAGCAAGGAAAGAUCAGCAAGAGAUUUGUACUAUGAUGAAAAAUGGAGUAUGGAGCACCAAUGUAAACAAGGGCAACAUCUGAUGAUCGAGCCAAUUAGAGAGGAACCGAAAGCAGAAGAUUUGGACUCCGAUUAUGAAGGUAUGGAAACUGAUGAAGAUAUUGAAGCCAUCACACAUACAGUGCAUGCAUUGGCUGGCUAUGCUAACCUACAAACUAUAAAAAUCGGAGGAACUUUGAAGCAUCAACCUGUCACUAUUUUGAUUGAUACAGAUAGCACUAAUAAUUUUAUGGACAGGAAAGUUGCAGCCCAAUUAGCCCACCACAUUGAGGGCUAUGAUAUAUUCGAAGCUGAUGGACGGAUCUUAACUUAUGAUAGCAAAGGCCAGGAAUUUCUUACAACGAUUACUACACUGAAAGAUCGACCUAUUGCUUACACUGUCAAAAAGUGGAGAUUAUACUUACUUGAUCAACGGGUUGUGAUGCGUUGCAGAUAGUCUAUGGCUAGUGCUGAAAGAGAAGCUCCCCGAGAUUGAUGUUGCUCAGCCUUGAGGACAAGACUGAUUUGAAGAGGGAGGAACUGUUAGGACCCUUUUUCUGAGCUUUUGAAUAAUGUUUAUUGAGUCUGUUUAGUCCAGUUGUUUAUUGAGUCGGUUUGGUUCAGUUAGAGUCAAGUAGAGGUUUAUUUAAUAUUUAUUUAUUAUUGGAGUUCAAGUCCUGAUAGACUUUGGGUGGAACUCUAUAAAUAGGGAUGUAACUGCUUCUUUUUAGUAAUCUAUGAAAAAUACUAUUAUGUCUUUGGACAAACCCUAGGAGGUCGAUCCCCUCGAAGUGAUCAAGGAGGGCCGAUCCCCUCGAAGCGAUCAAGGAGGGUCGAUCCCCUCGAAGCGAUCAAGGAGGCCGAUCCCCUCGAAGCGAUCAUUAUCAUCCCCAUUUCUCCCGUUUCUUCGACGAUAAGACUUUAGGGUCUUAUCAUUUGGUAUCAGAGCCUACGAUAAGACUUUAGGGUCUUAUCAUUUGGUAUCAGAGCCUACGAUAAGACUUGGGUCUUAUCAUUUGGUAUCAGAGCCUAUGAUAAGACUUUAGGGUCUUAUCAUUUGGUAUCAGAGCCUACGAUAAGACUUUUAGGGUCUUAUCAGUAACCUUGUCACUUUCUGUUGAAUGACCUGUAUUUUGAUAUUUCUUUUAUCUUAGUAUUUGAAUCUUUGGUUUAUAUAUAAUGUGCCUUCUUGGCAAGCUACUCCUAUUGAGCCUAUCUAGUCACUACACUGUCUUCAAAUUGUUGAAAAGUUAGUGUUGAUUAUCUUAUUCUAAGAUGCAUCAAAAUUAUUUGGCUUGUUGGAUUAAAGAUGGACAUUUUUAAGAGGACUUUUCUGAUGGAAUCAAGGUGAAAUUGCUAUGUCAAUAAAGGAUGCUUAUCUUUACUAUCUGUUUCUGCAAAUGAAUGAAGAGGAUGGCUCCAGGAUUUUCUCGUUCUAAUUCACUUCAAGCAAGGGUUUCAAAUGCAUAUCUGUCGCCAUAGUAGGAUUAGUAUUGGAUCAACACCAGGUAGGAGUGCCAUAGAGAUCAGAAUCAUCUUGCCCAUUCUGUUACAACUGAUGACUUUACAAAUCGUUACUGCUUCAUGCAAGCUUGGAUCAGCAUGAGUAAUUUUAACCAAUAUGAAAUCCCAGUUUCUUAAAGUUUAUUUAAUAUAGGCCACAUAAUAGAUUGACAUUAAAUCAUAUUCGUACAAUAAAAAAUGAUGUCAUUCAUGUAAAAUCUGCCAAGGAUUGCCCUUACCUUUUUCACACGCCACCUUUUAUGCUUGUACUUCAUAUAAAACUUAUCUUUGUGGAAUGGCUGCACCUUUCCGCUAUGUUAGCUCUCAUCGAAGGCCAUGAUUAUCUAUCCUUUUCCAGUUUCGAUUAAUAUGAUAUUGAAUGAUCAAAGAGUAUUUGUUGUACUCUAAAAGGGAUUGUUCAUAUUUAUUCUUUUUUAAAAUGAAAGGUGGAUAAUGAACACACUGUUUCUAUUUAUAAUACAAGUAAAAAAUAGUUCAGGAUUUAGAUAAUCUAUAAAAAGGACUGAUACCUUUAAACUUCAAUUAGGCUUCUAAGUCAUGUAUACUUUAAUGAUCCUACGACAUCCAAUUUAUUCCUUCUCUACUUUAUUGCACCUUUAAAAUCCUUAUCAAUGUAAAAUGGGAGAUAAAUUGAACUUUUGGUUUGCUGAAGAAUAUAUGACAAAAGUGGAUAAGUAUCUGAAUUCAGUAGAUUGUCUUGCUACACUUAUCUACCUGCUAUAGUGGAAGUUCCAAAGUCAUUGUAGCAUGGGUAAAAAGGGAUCCGGAUACAUAAUCUGUCAGUAUAUGUCAUUAUGGCACAAGUUGCUUUACUUAUUUCUUAUAAACUGCACAAAGAUUUAGGAGCCAAGUUGUGUAUAUUUAUUUUGCUUUAAGAUUUACUGAUCUGGUUGAUUAUUGUUCUAAAAUAACUUGUGUAGGCCUAAGGUCACUGUAUGUGCUCAUUUCUGAAAGUAUGUCUGAGUUAGUGUAUUUACAGCCUGCUAUUGGUUUUGUUUUGGGCUUCAUAGGAACGAAGAUGCUAUUUGACUUAUUUGGUUAUCAUGUACCAACUGAGGUGUCCUUGGGU